GGCGGUAUAGCUCAGUUGGCUAGAGCAUUCGGUUCAUACCCGAAGUGUCACCGGUUCGAAUCCAGUUACCGCUACCA
rnacentral:tRNA from 40 species